AUUUUGGGUGGGUGGGAGGAAAGGAGAGGAGAAGGACUAGGGACAUUUAACAUAAAUAAUAGGAUAACAAGGGAUAGUGUUGUUGAAGGGAAUGUGUGGAGGGAUGAGUGAUAGAAUGAUUGAAGCUGUGAAGGAGUUUCUGGAGAGAAUGUUGCGUGCUAGAUGUAUGGAUUAGUAGGAACAAUGGUGUCUAGCCUGUUUUGAUGGGUUUUUAUCUAGUCUGUUUUUAGUCUAGUCUUUUUUUGUCUAGUCUGUUUUGCUUUUUAAAUGAAUUAAUUUACUUUUGUCCCCCCCCCACAGUAGCUGCCAAUACCAAGGCCUGGCUGUGGAGCAAUCCCGAGCCAUCUGUACCGUCAAGAUCAGGCUUGCUUGUGAUGGGGUGAGGAAAUGUCGUCACCACUGUUUACGAAAAUGUGAUGCCGAUUCACUAGUGGGACCAGGAACCCCACCCUCCUCACCACUGGAGAGAGGAGGACAAGUGUCUCUUCCCCAGCAGCUGAAGAAUUUGUGGGGUGAUCAUCAGCCUGCCCUGUGUCCACAGAGCACUCAAUGACCAGCCAGCCCCCCCCCACCUCACUGAAGAGUAUAUGUAAACUGGGAAGUUAAAAAGGGGGAAUAGGCCUUCACAAAAACCUUAUGUACAGUCAGUUACCUUGGAAAUCUCUGGAGAGAGAUUUUAUUGUCCAGAGAUUUCCAAGGUAGCAUUUCUAAGAUUGCAGAGUAACAAUGAAAAACAAGUUCAGUUUCCAAAAGAAAUCUUACAAGACCUCUGGAAGCUUUAAGAGUAUUUUGACUCAGUGCAGUUUUUGAGGCCUUUCUGUCAAUUUUCAGUUUCACUUACCAAUUUUUUUUUUUUUUCAAUGUGGUUUGUGUGUUUCUGGUGAAAUGAAAACUGAUUGAUGUUCUACAUUCGUCACAAAUGUGUACUUUUCAAGCUCUGCCUACCUCUUUCCCAACAAUCUUAAGGGGACCUGUGGGAAAUCAGCAUUUUUGGAUAGGUGAGCAUUAAUUUGUAAAUUGAGUAAUGCAAGUUGCAAGUCAGGUCUAAAAUCAACAAACAAAAUCUAUGAAGAUACAAACUACACUAUUGACAGCGGCAACAACAACUGUUAGGUUAUGCUGAACCUGAGUAGCAUUGUCAACUAUAGCAGCGCUGUCAAUAUAAAUUCACUGUAGACUCACCAUGGUUACUAACCUAAUUUUAUUUAACCUGUAUACAAAAUGUAGUGAAAUGUCAGCAACGCUCACCUCAGCUGCUGUCAAAGGUGUAUAUACUUUGUGAUUGUUGAUUUUUGACCUGUUUUGCAAUGUGCAUUACUUGAUUUAAUGCUUUCCCACCAGUCCCCCCAAGAUCACUGAGGGAGAGGUAAGCACAAGUUGAAAAAUUCAUUACUUGAAAAAUACACAUUUGUGACAGAAAUGAGAUAGACAGUCAAUCAAAUACACUAACUACUCAUCUCACCAGAAACAUUAGCACAAUACACUACUCAUCUCACCAGAAGCACAUCACAAAAAUUGUUGGUUGGUGACACUGAAAAUUGUACACAAUCUUUUUUCCAUUUUCCUAAAACUAAAAAAAAUUAGUUUUAUGAAGCCUUCUUCCUCUAUUUUAUCCUCAAAAGUUGGGUGGGCAGGCCAGGACAGCCAGGAUCCUACUCCUCUUGUGUUGCUGAGAAAGAAAUUUUCAUAUAGCAAAAGAAUACCUCAUGAUAUGUACCAAAGCAAAUAAGUGAUGAUACAUGAUGCACUGCUGCACCAGAAUGUGAGGAGAGGAACAGGAAGGAACCACAUGGUUUUCUGCACUCCUUUUACUGUUGUAGCCAUGAGAGGUGGUGGUAGUGGUAGCAGCCUCUCCUGUUAUGUUCUUGUUUCAGUUCUGGUAAGCUGCAAAAUAAAGUCAGAUAUAAAAUAAUCUUACCAUUUAAAAAGAAAAAAGCGUUAUAAAAGUUUAGUGUCAUCAAAUAUAGCAAAUCACAGCAAAGAAGUGAAACAAGCACUACUCUCCACUAGAAUAACUUGCUGCCGCAUGGACGAGAGGAGAGGAACAGCAGAGAAGGGCUUCUUGGUACUGUGACUGCUUGUGGUGGUGUUAGAAGUGGACAGGAGGAUGGGCGAGUUUGGUGGUGUCACAGGUGGGAAUGGCUGUGUGGAUGGCUGUGACCUGCAACAAUCAUCAACAUCAACAUCCACCAGAUACAUGUGUUAUUUGUGUUAAUUCUCAAUCUGUUUAGGUGUUAUUUGUGUUAAUUCUCUCAAUCUGUUCCAAUGUUCACACCUGGCAAAGCUACCAAAUAAAGGGCAAGGCAACCA
rnacentral:lncRNA from 1 species